rnacentral:misc_RNA from 1 species
GAUGAAGAACGUAGCGAAAUGCGAUAAGUAAUGUGAAUUGCAGAAUUCAGUGAAUCAUCGAAUCUUUGAACGCACAUUGCGCCGCUUGGUACUCCGAGGGGCAUGCCUGUUCGAGCGUCAUUACACCACUCAAGCUAUGCUUGGUAUUGGGCGUCGUCCUUAGUUGGGCGCGCCUUAAAGACCUCGGCGAGGCCACUCCGGCUUUAGGCGUAGUAGAAUUUAUUCGAACGUCUGUCAAAGGAGAGGAACUCUGCCGACUGAAACCUUUAUUUUUCUAGGUUGACCUCGGAUCAGGUAGGGAUACCCGCUGAACUUAAGCAUAUCAAUAAGCGGAGGA